rnacentral:tRNA from 1 species
CGCGGUGUAGCUUAAUGGAAAAGCGAACGACCGAUAAUCGUUAGACUGAAAGUUCGAUUCUUUCCGCCGCGA